rnacentral:misc_RNA from 1 species
UGUUCUCAUUUGCGCUUCUUGAGUCGAGAGCUGUUGUUUACGGCAUCCUAGGGGGCAGCCGAAAGCAACGCCGCCACACACCCGUGACAGGCGUCCGACGUCUUGCGUUGCCUGUGUGUCGGUGCUCGUUGUCUUUAUCGCUCUUCUGCCUAAAACUUGUCGAGUAUUUUUUUUUCAGUGGUCUGCGUCCGUACGCACACAUCCUUGAUCGCAUUACACACAUACGCACUCGCUGACCGACGCCACCGUACAGACGAGCAGUCGCACGUACAAUUUGAAUGAAGUAUCCCAUGUAUUUUCGCAAGUCGCCCGCGGCGGACGCGAAGAAUUCUCCGUUGAGUUCGCGUCCUGCGGCGGAGGCGGACGCGAACGCAGAGCGUCCUCGGAGGCGAACCGAAAUCUCUUACUCAUCAACACUGUUGUUGAUGUGGGCGUUUUUGCUGGCGCAUGUCUCGUGGAAGGCGCAUUUUCGAAUGCAGGCGGGCAGCAUUCUUGUUCUCUGCACUGUGGCCCUCACGUCGGAGCACGGCGAAAGUCGGCUGCUGAUGCCGCUCAUUUUCUUGUCCGAGCGCUGCCUCGAUCACGCGAUGAAUCUCGGGCACUCGCCGAUUCUGUUUUAUGCUUCGACACUGCUCUCCUACCUGUCUUUGGUCGCUGCAAAGGCCGAGAGGCGGGGGAAGUCGCCGCGUGACCGCAACGUAGUCGCCGAGACGGUCCUCUACGCCGUCGUCGGCUUGGCGGUGGUCUUUUUCAUUGUGCAGGAUAGGGUCAUAUCCCUCGGCGGCAUCGCGUACGUCUUGUCAGGAUAUAUUUUCUUUCUGAAGAUGUUGCCCGUCAUUGGCGACAACGAGGCCAUCCUCAUCGGCUCCCUUGUUGGCUUUUACUUCUGCGACAUUUGCGUCAACAACAACCUUAGCUUCGACGGUGGUCGUGAGUCGGUGUUGUCGCUGAACGCGCCGGGGUACCGGACGUCGUACACGCACAUUGCGAGUCGCGGCGUGAUUCUGUGCGCUAUCUACAUUGUCAUACUCGUCUCCGUUCUUUCGAGAUGGUGUCUCAUCCCGACAAACAAAAACUCCAAAUCGUCGCGCCGUCGCGUGAGCCGAAAGCGCAUCAGCAUCGUCUUCUGGGUGUCGAACGCGGUGGUCGGGGCCAUGCUGGCCCUUCUCAUUAGUUACCAGUUUCGCGAAAACGUUCUUCGCUGGCUCUUUGCCUACUUUGUCUCUAGCCGCUUCCGCAUGUGGACACUCGUAUGCUGGUUUACGCUGCUGCCAUUUGCAGUGUACCUCGUGGACGUGCUAUCUAUGCAGCUUCGGCCAUCAGUGCGUCGUAAGCUGUUCCACUUCAUCGGCGUCGUCGCUUUCACUCCGGCGACGAUGAUUGAUCCGCCAUUCAUGGCAUUCGCGUUAUCCACCGCUAUCAGCUUAUGCGUCUUGGUGGAGGUGGCGCGAUACUACAAUGUGUACGGCUCUGAGUGCAUAUCGCGCUUCAUGUCUCGCCACAUAGACGACCGCGAGCACAUCGACGGCGUCGUGCGCACCCACAUUUACCUCCUCCUUGGCUUUGGCAUCUCUCUGAUGAUGCGCUGCAGGCAAUUGUCCAUCGAUGGCCCGCCGGUCCCAGCCAUCAUCGAGCUCUCCAUCAACAUGAUUCCAGGCGUUGUUUCGCUUGGCAUCGUGGACGCGUGCGCGGCCAUCACCGGGAGCUCGUUGUUUCUGAGCUCCCGACGUACGCUUGGACGAUACCUAAAGAACGGGCUCUUCACAGAGCGCGCUAACGCGUCCAUUACGCACAAGACGACUACCGGCACCCUGGGAGGACUUGUGUGUGGCUUGGUUUUCUGGGGCGUGAUUCUCGCGAUCGCUGAGGUGCCCAUCACAGGCCCUGCGUUCUAUUCGUUUACCAUGAUUGCCGUGUGCACUCUGACCGAGUGCUUCAUGGACGGCGUCGACAACCUGCAGCUGCCUAUGGUCGUGCUAGGAGCCGUGAACAACCUGUUCGCACUGCUGUUACCGGUGGAGGGUUUGUGGGUAAACCCUGCCAUCACACGGCCAAACCCCACAACGGCGAGAUCGAUGGCCAAUGCCUUAACAUCGCCGUGGAAGAGCUUCCCUUCCCCCGUUUCGGACUCUUGAUAAAGUUGGAUGUUACAGCGCUUCAGCGCUUGUGCUGUCUUUUCACCGUUUUUUUUUUGUGUUUUGUUUCCUCUGCUGUAUUAGGCCAGCGCAACAUGUGCGGCUUUUACAGUUUGUUCGUGAACCACAAC